UUAUCUUAAUAUUUUAGGAUUGGGUUUAGGGUUAGAUUUUAAGCUUAGGUUAAGGUUAGGGUAAAGGGUUAGGUUUAGGGUUUGAUUUUAUGGUUGAUUAAGGGUUAAGGUUAGGGUCAGGUGUAGGGUUUGAUUUUAUGGUUGAUUAAGGGUUAAGGUUAGGGUUAGGUGUAGGGUUUGAUUUUAUGGUUGAUUAAGGGUUAAGGUUAGGGUUAGGUGUAGGGUUUGAUUUUAUGGUUGAUUAAGGGUUAAGGUUAGGGUUAGGUGUAGGGUUUGAUUUUAUGGUUGAUUAAGGGUUAAGGUAAGGGUUAGGUGUAGGGUUUGAUUUUAUGGUUGAUUAAGGGUUAAGGUUAGGGUUAGGUGUAGGGUUUGAUUUUAUGGUUGAUUAAGGGUUAAGGUUAGGGUCAGGUGUAGGGUUAGAUUUUAGGGUUGAUUAAGGGUUAAGGUUGGGGUUAGGUGUAGGGUUAGAUUUUAGGGUUGAUUAAGGGUUAAGGUAAGGGUUAGGUGUAGGGUUUGAUUUUAUGGUUGAUUAAGGGUUAAGGUUGGGGUUAGGUGUAGGGUUUGAUUUUAUGGUUGAUUAAGGGUUAAGGUUAGGGUUAGGUGUAGGGUUUGAUUUUAUGGUUGAUUAAGGGUUAAGGUUAGGGUUAGGUGUAGGGUUUGAUUUUAUGGUUGAUUAAGGGUUAAGGUUAGGGUUAGGUGUAGGGUUUGAUUUUAUGGUUGAUUAAGGGUUAAGGUUAGGGUCAGGUGUAGGGUUAGAUUUUAGGGUUGAUUAAGGGUUAAGGUUGGGGUUAGGUGUAGGGUUAGAUUUUAGGGUUGAUUAAGGGUUAAGGUAAGGGUUAGGUGUAGGGUUUGAUUUUAUGGUUGAUUAAGGGUUAAGGUUAGGGUCAGGUGUAGGGUUAGAUUUUAUGGUUGAUUAAGGGUUAAGGUUGGGGUUAGGUGUAGGGUUUGAUUUUAUGGUUGAUUAAGGGUUAAGGUUAGGGUUAGGUGUAGGGUAUAUUUAUUUGUAGGGUGUAUUUUAAAUAAUUAACAUUCAACAUAGAGUUCAGUUAAAUUUAAUGGACAUUCAAUUCAGUGUUAGUUGAAUGUCGGUUGAGCAUCAACAAGGCCAUAAAAUGGACCAUCCAAGUAAAGUGUUACCUAACAUUUUAACAAUAGAACAUUUAUAGUCAUUAUGGUUUUUAGAGAAAGGUGUUUUUGGGAGGGAGGGAAGGAGGGGGGUAUUGCACUAAGCCUUUGUACUUUAUGCCAUUAUUUUUUCCCUAUUUUACAUUAAAUUUACUUUUAUACUUCAAGUAGUUUUGAAACCAGUACUUUUACACGUUUACUUAAAGAAUAAAAAGCUUGAAUUGAUGCUUCUUCAGCUUCUACAGAAGUAUUUUAAACCCUAGUAUCUAUAGUUUUACCUACAUGAAUAGUAAUAAUUGGGAAGUCCAACCUCACAGGGUCGGAUACAACAUAGACAUUGGAAUUUCCAACAUAAGAAGAGUUGGCUAUGUUUAGAAGUAUGUUUGGUUGGUUUCUGUCGCAGUUGUGUAGCAUAUGAUCCCUAUUAAUUUUGGGUUUGACUGUCAUCCCUUGUCUCUCUCAUUCAGCUGUGCAACCAUUGGGUUGUUUUUAGCUAUCGUGUGUUACUCUGCACGUAUACUGUAUAGUGUAAUAGCAUUGCUUCAUGCCAAAGAGCCAAUGACCUGUAUCAGUUUUAGCUGGAAGUGACUGAGAGUUUCAUUCUGCAUGUCAUUCUCUGGAUGUGCUUAUCCAGGGUUUUCACACUGCAGUAUGACUUCCUACCAGGGCACUGAACAAACUUCACAUUCCUC